rnacentral:rRNA from 1 species
GAUGAACGCUGGCGGCGUGCCUAAUACAUGCAAGUCGAGCGAACAGACGAGGAGCUUGCUCCUCUGACGUUAGCGGCGGACGGGUGAGUAACACGUGGAUAACCUACCUAUAAGACUGGGAUAACUUCGGGAAACCGGAGCUAAUACCGGAUAAUAUAUUGAACCGCAUGGUUCAAUAGUGAAAGACGGUUUUGCUGACACUUAUAGAUGGAUCCGCGCCGCAUUAGCUAGUUGGUAAGGUAACGGCUUACCAAGGCAACGAUGCGUAGCCGACCUGAGAGGGUGAUCGGCCACACUGGAACUGAGACACGGUCCAGACUCCUACGGGAGGCAGCAGUAGGGAAUCUUCCGCAAAGGGCGAAAGCUUGACGGAGCAACGCCGCGUGAGUGAUGAAGGUCUUCGGAUCGUAAAACUCUGUUAUUAGGGAAGAACAAAUGUGUAAGUAACUAUGCACGUCUUGACGGUACCUAAUCAGAAAGCCACGGCUAACUACGUG